GCUACGGGAGGCUGCAGUGGGGAAUAUUGCACAAUGGGCGCAAGCCUGAUGCAGCCAUGCCGCGUGUGUGAAGAAGGCCUUCGGGUUGUAAAGCACUUUCAGCGGGGAGGAAGACGGUGAGGUUAAUAACCUCAUCGAUUGACGUUACCCGCAGAAGAAGCACCGGCUAACUCCGUGCCAGCAGCCGCGGUAAUACGGAGGGUGCAAGCGUUAAUCGGAAUUACUGGGCGUAAAGCGCACGCAGGCGGUCUGUCAAGUCGGAUGUGAAAUCCCCGGGCUCAACCUGGGAACUGCAUUCGAAACUGGCAGGCUAGAGUCUUGUAGAGGGGGGGUAGAAUUCCAGGUGUAGCGGUGAAAUGCGUAGAGAUCUGGAGGAAUACCGGUGGCGAAGGCGGCCCCCUGGACAAAGACUGACGCUCAGGUGCGAAAGCGUGGGGAGCAAACAGGAUUAGAUACCCUAGUAGUC
rnacentral:rRNA from 1 species